AGUCCACCUCAAUGCCAGCUGAAAGGAAAGCCCCUUCCCAGCUGCGCAUCCACUAAAAAUGGACUCAAAGGAAACGGUUUUAAUAUCCUAGUGCUUGAAGAUACAUAUCCCCUCUUCCCGCUCUCUUGGAACUUAAAACAACAUUU
rnacentral:snoRNA from 1 species